GAUAGCUCAGUCGGUAGAGCAAUCGGCUGUUAACCGAUCGGUCGGAUUCCCGGACGGGUCACCA
rnacentral:tRNA from 1 species